AUUGAACGCUGGCGGCAGGCCUAACACAUGCAAGUCGAGCGGCAGCAGAGUGAUUGCUUCUGGUUACAGCGGCGGACGGGCGAGUAAUGCAUGGGUACCUCGCUGGCAGCGGGGGCUAACGUCAGGACAUGGGCGCUCUUACCCUAUUACUCCAGAGGGCGUACGUGGGAAAUCUUGGGAUCUCAGGAUCUCACGCGAUUCUAGGAGCCGAGGUCGGAUUAGCUAGUUGGCGGGGUAAAGGCCCACCAAGGCGACGAUCCGUAGCUGGUCUGAGAGGAUGAUCAGUCACACUGGAACUGAGACACGGUCCAGACUCCUACGGGAGGCAGCAGUGGGGAAUAUUGGACAAUGGGCGAAAGCCUGAUCCAGCCAUACCGCGUGUGUGAAGAAGGUCUUCGGAUUGUAAAGCACUUUUGUUGGGAAAGAAAAGCAGUAAGUUAAUACCUUGCUGUUUUGACGUUACCAACAGAAUAAGCACCGGCUAACUUCGUG
rnacentral:rRNA from 1 species